UACAGAGGUCCCAAGCGUUGUUCGGAUUCAUUGGGCGUAAAGGGUGCGUAGGCGGGUCUUUAGGUCAGGUGUGAAAUCCUGGAGCUCAACUCCAGAACUGCCUUUGAUACUGAAGAUCUUGAGUUCGGGAGAGGUGAGUGGAACUGCGAGUGUAGAGGUGAAAUUCGUAGAUAUUCGCAAGAACACCAGUGGCGAAGGCGGCUCACUGGCCCGAUACUGACGCUAAGGCACGAAAGCGUGGGGAGCAAACAGG
rnacentral:rRNA from 1 species